rnacentral:lncRNA from 1 species
GGAAACGCCCACUGAGGGGCACACAGUGAGGCGGCCACUGGCUCUGUGUCCUUGGGGAAGCCCCUUCUGCGGUCCCCUCCAUUGUCUGCGUGACAAAGUGGACGUAGAACUCCCCCAUUUCCUGCCCAGGGCGGGUGAGGACCCUGCACACACACGGUGUGUUUGUGAGCUGUGCAGAGUGGGGUCUCCCUGGCAAUGGCCACAGCCUCCAGGGGCGCUGACACCUCCCGUCUAACUGGUAGACAGUUUCUGCCUCUUCUUGUUUGGGGAUUGGAGAGGGAAGUGCGUCUGGAUGACUACUAAGAUGAGGAGGCUGAGGCCUAGUGCUCCUAGCGGGCUUGGUCAAGAGCAGGAGGCGGAGGUGGUGGAAGGCUGUUUCCCUGCGGUUUGGCCAUGUGAGAGGGCUCUGGCAUCCUUUGAUGUGCCAUCGUUAUUCUCCGAGCACUUCCCUACUUUCUGGCACUACGACCUGUUCCAGCCCCUCUUGGGCUCCACCUACCCAGCCCUGGAACCAGCCCUGGAAUCAGCCCUUUCCCUGUUCCUUUAAUCGAAGAAUGGUAUUUAGAAGCCAAGAUCUAGCUUCAAGGAUGCACUCUUCCUCGAGAAUUGUCAUUCUCAUUAUUAAUUUUACUUUUAAACUUUUCAUUUUUAGUUGUACAUGGCAAGUAUAGAGAAAUACUAUUUUAUUUUAUAUUUCACAACAUAAUUAAAGCUUCUACCUUGUACCGAUAUCUAAUAUACUUGAUUUUUAGAUGGCCAGUCAUACAAGUGCAAUUAGGUCUUAUUACUUUCCUCCCACUAACAUUUAUUUUUAUUUUCUUUCAUUAUAGUAUUGACCAAGGCUGCUAUGACUACAUUAAAAUGUAGACAUGAUAGUGGGUAUUCUUAUAUUCUUAUAUUAUGCCAGAAAGUAUUCUUAUAUACCCACAAUCAUGUCUACAUAGGGGGGGGAUAGGGGACCUCAACUUAAAGAGAACAAAGCUAAAGUUGUUUGUUUAUGUUUAAAUGCUUCAGAUUUUUUAUCUGAAACUUUGCUAAGUAAAUUUCUUCUAUGAUCUAGGUUGCUGAGAUGUCUUUCAUUUUUAAGUCAUAAAUGAGCAUUGGCCUUCUUAAAUAACUUUUCUUGCAUUGUUGACUUUUUGAGAAGAUCAUCUAAUUUUUUUGUUACAAUCAGUUAAUUGGAGAAAGGCAUUGAUUACUUUUCUGAUAUUCAUCCAUCUUUGCACUCCUGGAAUAGCCCUUCUUGGUAAUGAUUUAUUCUUUUUAAAAUAUAAUAUUGUAAUCUCUUGAUUAAUAUUACUCUAUAUGUAGGAUUUUUGAAACUGUACUUUCUGUUUUUACAUUGCCUUUAUCUUAUUUUGAAAUCAAGAUGACACUAGCUUCAUAUAAAAUAGCUAGGCAAUUUUUUAUUGUUUAUAUAUUCUAAUAAAAAUUCUACAGGAGAAGACAACUAUUUCUUAAAAGUUUGGCAGACCAUGGAAACACAAUUAGAACUAAUAAACAAAUUAAGCAAUGUUGUGGGAUAUAAGAUCAAUGUACAAAAUCAUUGUAUUUCUAUAUAUAAGCAAUAGGCGAUCUGAAAAUUAAAUUUAAAACAAUACCAUUUACAAAGGCCUCAACAAGAAUAACAUACUUAGGAAUACAUUUAAAAAUGAAAGUGCAAGACAUGUACAUUGAAAACUACAAAUUAUUGUUGAAAAUAAAUUUUAAAAGACCUAAAAAUAUGGUAAGACACCCUAUGUCCAUGGACAGAAAGACUUGAUGUUAAAAUGGAAAUACUCUCAAAAGUCAUCCACAGAUUUACUGCAAUCCCUCUCAGGAUACUAGCUGACUUUUUGCAGAAAUCGGCAAGCUGAUCUUAAAAUUUGUAUGAAAAUGAAAGGGACCCAGAAUAGUCAAAACAAUCUUGAAAAAGAACAAAGUUGGAAGACUCCUAUUUCUGAUUUUAAAACUUACUACAAGGCUAAGGUAGUCAAUACAGUGUGGUACUGGCAUAAGGGAAGACACAUGGAUAAAUGGAAUAGAAUUGAGAGUCCAAAAACAAAACCUAACAUUUACGGUCAAUUGAUUUUUGACCAAAGAGUUAAUAUACUUCAAUGGGGAAAGAAUAAUUUUUUCAACAAAUGGUGGGGAGACAACUGGAUAUUCGCAGGGAAAAGAAUGAAAUUAGACCCCUAUCUCACACUAUACACAACAGUUAACUCAAAGUGGGUCACAGACCUAAAUAAAUGUAAAAGCUAAACCUAUAAAACUCUUCAGAGAAAACGGAAAUAAAUCUUUGUGAUGUUGGGUUAGGCACUGAUUUCUCAGGUAUAACACCAAUAUCACAAGUGACCAAAGAGAGAUUGGUAAAUUGGACUCUAUCAAAAUCAAAAAAAUUCAGUGCUUCAAAAAAGAUGCCAUCCUAAAAAUGAAAAGACAACACACAGACUGGGAGAACAUAUUGGUAAAUCAUAUAUUUGAUAAGUCAAUUGUAUCCAAAACAUAUAGCCGGGCCAGGCACAGUGGCUCACGCCUGUAAUCCCAGCACUUUGGGAAGCCGAGGCAGGUGGAUCACAAGGUCAGGAGAUCGAGAACCAUCCUAGCUAACACGGUGAAACCCUGUCUCUGCUAAAAAUACAAAAAAUUAGCCAGGUGUGCUGGUGUGUGCCUGUAGUCCCAGCUAAUCAGGAGGCUGAGGCAAGAGAAUCGCUUGAACCCAGGAGACGGAGGUUGCAGUGAGCUGAGAUUGCGCCACUGCACUCCAGCCUGGGCGACAGAGUGAGACUCCAUCUCAGAAACAAACAAACAAAAACAUACAGUGAACUCUUACAGCUCAAUAAUAGAAAGACAACCAAUUUAAACAUGGACAAAGGAUUUACAUAGACAUUUAUUUAAGGUAGAUGUAUCAACAGCCAACAAGUACAUGAAAAGAAACUGACCAUUAUUAGUCACUAGAGAAAUGCAAAUAAAAACUAUAAUGAAUUAGCUGGACAUGGGGUUUUGCGCCUGUAAUCCCAGCUACUUGGGAGACUAAGGAGAGGGGAUGGAUUGAGCCCAGGAGUUUAAAGCUGCAGUGAGCUCUGAGCCACCGCACUCUAGCCUGGGCAGCAGUGAGACCCUGACUUAAAAACAAAAACAAAAACAAAGCAAGAAAACCCCACCAUAAUGAAAUACUACUUUAUACCUACCAGAAUGGCUUUGAUGAAAGAAAUAGACAAUAAUGAGUGCUGGCAAGGAUGUGAAGAAAUUGGAACACACAUGUGUUUUUGGUAGGGAUAAAAAUGGUGCAGCCAAUUUGGAAAACACAUCAGCAGUUCCUCAAAAUGUUAAACAUAGGGUUAUUAGAUGACCCAGCAAUUGUAUUCCUAGGUAUAUACUAAAGAGAAAUUAAAAAAAAAACAUGUACACACAAAAAUUUAUACACAAAUAUUCAUAACGGCAUUGUUCAUAAUAGCCAAAAGGUGAAAAGAAUCCAAAUGUUCAUCACCCAGUGAAUGGGCAAUAUGGAUAACAUGGUGUAUCCACAAGAUGGAAUGCUACUUGGCCUUGAAGACACUGCGCCAAGUGAUGAAGCCAGACACAAAGGACCUACAUUGUGCUCAGCGUGGUGGGUCACACUUGUAAUCCCAACACUUUGGGACACAGAGGAGGGAGAAUUGCUUAAGGCCAGGAGUUUGAAACCAGCCUGGGUAACAUAAUGACACCUUGUCCAUACAAAAAAUUUAAAAAUUAACCACACACAGUGGCACACACCUGUAGUCCCAGCUACUCAGGAGGCUGAAGUGGGAAGAUCGCUUGAGCCUGGGAGUUUGAUGUUGCAGUGAGCUAUGAUUGCACCACUGCACUCCAGCCUGGGUGACAGAGUGAGACCCUGUCUCUUAAACACACACACACACACACACACACACACA